GACGAACGCUGGCGGCGUGCUUAACACAUGCAAGUCGAACGGAAAGGCCCUGCUUUUGUGGGGUGCUCGAGUGGCGAACGGGUGAGUAACACGUGAGUAACCUGCCCUUGACUUUGGGAUAACUUCAGGAAACUGGGGCUAGUACCGGGUAGGAGCUCCUGCUGCAUGGUGGGGGUUGGAAAGUUUCGGCGGUUGGGGAUGGACUCGCGGCUUAUCAGCUUGUUGGUGGGGUAGUGGCUUACCAAGGCUUUGACGGGUAGCCGGCCUGAGAGGGUGACCGGCCACAUUGGGACUGAGAUACGGCCCAGACUCCUACGGGAGGCAGCAGUGGGGAAUAUUGCACAAUGGGCGGAAGCCUGAUGCAGCAACGCCGCGUGCGGGAUGACGGCCUUCGGGUUGUAAACCGCUUUCGCCUGCGACGAAGCGUGAGUGACGGUAAUGGGUAAAGAAGCACCGGCUAACUACGUG
rnacentral:rRNA from 1 species